CCUGUCCCGGUCUGGCUCUUUAACUGUUACUCUUUUUCAAUCAUAAACAAUCCCAAGUUAUAAACACUAAAAUAGACCAAAAGGUUGCCGGUGUUUUGGUAUAAAGAAUAAUUUUGUAAAUAUGUUCAAAAUAUGUUCUUCCCACACCCAAAGAGAAAUACUUAAGACGUUUGCUGUUUUUGCAAGCAUACUGCUAUGUGUUUCAUGUUAAAUGGUAGGAUAUUUCCCAGGAGGAACAUAUAUGCCCAGCCAUUAUGCUACUGAUUCAAAGAUGAUAAAUUUUGCUUUAAAAGUAGAAGCUAAGUUAUUAUGUAAAGAACUUUUUUUUUGGUAGUUAUAGUAACUAGGGAAGUUGAAGAUAAAGCCAAGGUCCUUAUGAGUGUGACAAAUGUUUUUCUCAUCUCAGAUGAUCAUUAAUUUGGGGACAAGGGUCCCAAUUGGUCAAUAGCAACCAAAGCCACCACAAGCCAGUGGUUUCUGGAUCCUUUUUUCUAGUGAAGUUGAUGAAUGGAUUUCAUGGGCAACACGAUGUUGGAUGUUUAGAAGAGAGUUUAUUACAGGUUCAGGGGUGAGAGCUUUAGAGAUAAGAAGUGACUUGCAUAUAGAUGGGCACACACAAAGAUAUGCGUGCAAAAUGAAUUAAUUUUGAAAAGGGAGAAAAAAAUAGGAAGCAAACUGAGCUGCUACAAGAGCAGGACCCAAGAUGGCUUCCUUCUCUGAAAGGCCCGAUCUAGGGGUCACCGAAGCCUUACCGGAUUGAGGCAUGAGUUGUUCAGUGCAGGUGUCCCAACCAGGAGAUAGCCACCUGCCUCUCUAAUUAGGUGCUCUCUGUUUGGACUGGGAUUUAAGUCCUGUGCUCCUAUAUAGUCUCCAGGCAGCUGUGCUGACCGCUUGCUGUCUAUAAUGAGAGGAAAACAUGAAACUGUACUCAGCAUUCCUAAGUAAUUUUAGCAUUUCUGGCCUCUGGUGAAAACCAGAACAUAGAACUGCUGUGCUCUGAGGCCCUUGCUUCUCAAAUGUCUGAAUGUUUACUUUCUCCUGUUUUCAUCCACGCUAAUCGUUGCUGGCUUUUUUUUUUUAAUUUAUAUGUGUUAUAUAAGCCUUCUAAGAUGCAAAGCUAAGGAAAACUUUUUACCAAGCUGGUAGCCACCCAACUAGAAUUGUUGGUGUGUUUGCCUUUUUAAGGUUUAUAUUUGCACGCUCCCAACUGUGUCUUUGCCAUGCUCUUUAAAGAUGGUCAGACGGCUCUAAUGUUGUACACUCCAAAUGUUACUUCUUCAUAAAAGAGAUUUGACACUGGUCCUCUAAGGGGUGCAUCUCUAGACAAUUACUUAAUGCUCAAAUUACUCUUCUUUAAAUAUUUGCUGUUAGAGUCAGGUAUGAAGGUGUAUGCCUUUGACCCCAGAACUCUAGGGUAGAGGCAGGCCAGCCAGGGCUACACAGUAAGACCCUCUUAGUUGUAAAGGCCAUAAAGGAUUUUGUUGGCAGUGAUUUUUUGAUGUUUGUACUCCAUCAAUGUUUACUUUGUCAUGUCAGACUAACCAUGGCAGAUCUCCUCCUGCUAAUGAGGAACAGUUGGAAUCAAACCACGGGAUGUUGGUCGUUGAUAUCUUCAGAGAAUACUGUUUAGGGAGAAGGGAAGUCUUUCUAGAACUUAAAUAAUAAAAACAUCACAC
rnacentral:lncRNA from 1 species